GUGCUCACUUCGGCAGCACAUAUACUAAAAUUGGAAUGAUACACAGAAGAUUAGCAUGGCCCCUGCACAAGGAUGACACGCAAAUUCGUGAAGCAUUCCAUAUUUUU
rnacentral:snRNA from 1 species